UACGUAGGGUGCAAGCGUUAAUCGGAAUUACUGGGCGUAAAGCGUGCGCAGGCGGCUUUGCAAGACAGAUGUGAAAUCCCCGGGCUUAACCUGGGAACUGCAUUUGUGACUGCAUGGCUGGAGUGCGGCAGAGGGGGAUGGAAUUCCGCGUGUAGCAGUGAAAUGCGUAGAUAUCGGGAGGAACAUCGAUGGCGAAGGCAACCACCUGGGCCUGAACUGACACUGAGACACGAAAGCGUGGGUAGCAAACAGG
rnacentral:rRNA from 1 species